rnacentral:rRNA from 2 species
GACGAACCGUCCAAACGUUAUUCGGAAUCACUGGGCUUAAAGGGCGCGUAGGCGGCCGAGCGGGUCACGGGUGAAAUCCUCCAGCUUAACUGGAGAACUGCCCUUGAUACCACUGCGGCUCGAGGAAGGAAGGGGUCAUGGGAACUGUCGGUGGAGCGGUGAAAUGCGUUGAUAUCGACAGGAACGCCGGUGGCGAAAGCGCAUGACUGGUCCUUUUCUGACGCUGAGGCGCGAAAGCCAGGGGAGCAAACGGG